GCGGCAGUAGUUCAGUGGUAGAACGUCGGCUUCCCAAGCCGAAGAUCGUGGGUUCGAGUCCCAUCUGCCGCUCCA
rnacentral:tRNA from 1 species